CCAUCAUUGUUAACGGAAAUACAAUUAAACAAUUUGCAAACAUAUUUGAAUAACUAAGAACAAAAAUAAAGAAUAAGGAAGAAGAAACUCUUGAUGAUUUCAAUGAUUCUCUAAAGAUCGAUCAUGGUGGCUUCCUCCAAUUCUCAUGAUUGCUCUUUUGCAAAUUGCUCAUCAAUGUGGCCGGUCAAGAGAUUUUUUCUCAAGGGAAAUGCCAGCUAAAGGAAAGUGGGGAAAUGGAUGGCUUAUACAUGGAAAAGAGGAAAGAAAGAUGAUAGAAAUGUGAAUUAAGGGAU
rnacentral:lncRNA from 1 species